GGAGACGUGGCCGAGAGGCUUAAGGCACUCCCCUGCUAAGGGAGAGUCCGGUGAAAAACUGGACCGAGAGUUCGAAUCUCUCCGUCUCCG
rnacentral:tRNA from 1 species